rnacentral:rRNA from 1 species
UACGUAGGGGGCGAGCGUUGUCCGGAGUUACUGGGCGUAAAGGGCGUGUAGGCGGUUGGAUAAGUCUGGUGUGAAAUUCCUCAGCUUAACUGAGGAGCUGCGCUGGAAACUGUCUGACUGGAGGUCGGCAGGGGUGACUGGAAUUCCUGGUGUAACGGUGAAAUGUGUAGAUAUCAGGAGGAACACCUGUGGCGAAGGCGGGUCACUGGGCCGCAACUGACGCUGAGACGCGAAAGCGUGGGUAGCAAACAGG